UGGGUCAAUGGAGUCCACAGGUGCAUGUUCUGAUAAUCUCAUGCUGCGUAUACCUUCCAUGAUCCUUUCCCAGUUGGCAGGAGGUUGUAUUGACUCAGAAUAAACAUUGUCACUUGCAAAAUCUUCAAUUUCUGGAUGCCUGAGAAAUUUUUUAUCUGGAGAUUCUAUCUUCACCUCUUUAGCUAUCAUUUCCACUCUCCUUUUUCUCACUCUGUUCUUAGGAGCAACUCCAUCAUCUUCAGAUCCUAAAAUUAACAAUCUUUAAUGAUUUAUUACAUAAAACCCAUCUUCAUAAUUUGCAAGAAAA
rnacentral:misc_RNA from 1 species